UGAAAUCAUGAAGCCUGAGAAUAAGAGAAAAAUAUAGAAAAAAAGAGCAGAAAAGUCUGAGAAGAGGAAAAAUACAAAAGAAGGGCUGCUACUGUGCCAUUAAAGAAUACAAUAGUUCUACAUCGUAGGACUGGAAAUGGAUUGAUAUAGGUCUUUGGAGGAGUUAUUGUGAUUCAGGUUAUUGAGGGUCACUAUUCCGUUGGGUUUUCAUGUUUACUUCAUGACUAUAAUUGCUAAAUCCAGGUUUGUUUGUGGGUUUGAAAUGGCAGUAUAGUUCAUUCUGCUGUUUUAAACUGGUUUUCUUCUUGGAAUUUUCUACUGUUCCAUUGGAUUUUCUGAGUUGAUUUCAUCGGAUUUUUGUAGUACCUGGAACUAUUCAGCUCUGUCGUUACUACUGCAUUCCUCACCUUUUCCUUUGUUUUUUAUCCAGGUAUACAUCUUUUAAACUCACAAAAUGUGAAGCUCAAUUGAAAACUAAGCAAUGAGAACAGGGGUUCUGAUGUUUAGAUGCCAGUCUUC
rnacentral:lncRNA from 1 species